rnacentral:rRNA from 1 species
UACGUAGGGUGCGAGCGUUGUCCGGAAUUAUUGGGCGUAAAGGGCUCGUAGGCGGUUUGUCACGUCGGGAGUGAAAACUCAGGGCUCAACCCUGAGCCUGCUUCCGAUACGGGCAGACUAGAGGUAUGCAGGGGAGAACGGAAUUCCUGGUGUAGCGGUGAAAUGCGCAGAUAUCAGGAGGAACACCGGUGGCGAAGGCGGUUCUCUGGGAAUGACCUGACGCUGAGGAGCGAAAGUGUGGGGAGCGAACAGG